CUGAGAAGUACAGACAAUUACUCAGGGAGGUGACUCGGCUCCCUGGGGUUGGGUCUCUAUUUGAAAGCCUUCCUUCUGAAUACAACUUGCAGGGAAUGAAAUGACUCUGUUUUGAAGAAAGAAAUCUUCACACCUUUGUCAGGAACAGCCAGACACACCACAGCCAUUCUUUUGGGUAGAAACAAAAGUACGGAAGAUUAAUUGGCCACCUUCAGGCACUAAAAGAGAUGAGCAUUUGAAAUAAACAUAAGGGUAAGAAAAUGAGAAGUAAUUAACCUUUCUGGCUCAUCUUUCUCCCUGUGCUUGCAACCUGGCAUGCAGUUUUGUCACAUCAAUGAGAAAAUAUCUGAUACAGGUACUGGUACUUCCAUCAGCCCAGCAUUCUUCAGUGUUCUCUAUGUGAUGAAAAUAAAGCACAUUCCUCCUUCUGAACCAUCACCAGCAUGGAGCUCUCCACAGAGAAGCUAAAGACUCCAGCACACAGGUGACCUCAUCUCUCCUGCAGCAAUUCACCGAGGACUGAGGCAGCCCAUGGACCAAACUUGGAGAUUACAAACUGUAUCUGGAUCCACAGGUUACAAUUUUCCCUUUGGCUAAUCAAGACUUUUUUACAUAACGCAAUAAAAACUAAUAAAGC
rnacentral:lncRNA from 1 species